CUGUGGUUAUCUAGAGAUAGGAGAGUGUGGAUGGACCAUGGAGUAGGCUUGUGCUGAUUGUCCAGCUGCACUCUGUAAAACAAGGAGAAGAAAGAAAAAGACUACUUGACUUUUUCACGGUGCCUGUGGCUCCCUUAGGACAGCAGAUUUACAUUCUUACCAUGAAGUUUGCAAAGUGAAUUAUGGAGCUGAGGCUGUGUUCUGCCGAGCGUGGUGAAGGGAUUGCAGAGCCAUGCAUUGGGUAUCUAAGGGGUGUGUGGCUGGAUUCAGUGGAUCUACCAGCACCUAGACAACUGGCAAAUGCAGGAAUGUAUAAAUAUAUCCAGCAAAUGGAGCACACCAUUGCCAUAGAUUUCUAG
ensembl:lncRNA